rnacentral:rRNA from 1 species
UACGUAGGGUCCGAGCGUUGUUCGGAAUUACUGGGCGUAAAGGGUUCGUAGGCGGCCGAUUAAGUCUGACGUGAAAUCCCUCAGCUCAACUGGGGAACUGCGUCUGAGACUGGAUGGCUUGAGUGCAGGAGAGGAACGCGGAAUUCCAGGUGUAGCGGUGAAAUGCGUAGAUAUCUGGAGGAACACCGGUGGCGAAGGCGGGGUUCUGGACAACAACUGACACUGAGGAACGAAAGCCAGGGGAGCAAACGGG